rnacentral:rRNA from 1 species
UACGUAGGGUGCAAGCGUUGUCCGGAAUUAUUGGGCGUAAAGAGCUCGUAGGCGGUCUGUCGCGUCGGCUGUGAAAACUUGGGGCUCAACCCCAAGCCUGCAGUCGAUACGGGCAGACUAGAGUGCGGUAGGGGAGACUGGAAUUCCUGGUGUAGCGGUGAAAUGCGCAGAUAUCAGGAGGAACACCGAUGGGGAAGGCAGGUCUCUGGGCCGAUACUGACGCUGAGGAGCGAAAGCGUGGGGAGCGAACAGG